rfam:Bacillus phage BCP78, complete genome.
GCUCCUGUAGCGUAGCGGUAGCGCAGCAGCCUGUUAAGCUGUUGGUCGGUGGUUCGAAUCCACCCAGGAGCG